UGCUCGGCAGCCAAGGAGAAGGUCGGAUCAAGCAAUUCCUGCUGCCUGGGCAGAGGAAAGAAGAAUGCGGGGAAGGAGCGCUGCCAUCCUCUCUAGUUAUUUACAGGCGUGACUCCCGUGUGCGGGGCUGACACUUUCUAAAAGUGCUGAUAAUAGAGCUGUCACUAUGUGGUGUGGGCGAAGAGUGCUGCACAGUGCAGCCCAGCAGGACUGGAAUGUCUGGUCUUCUGGGCAGGACUCCACCCUGUAUUUAGCUGUGACGCUCUGAGUACCUUUCCCAGACCUCAGGAGGAGCUCUGUGUAAGCUGGAAGAUGUAGUGCCUGCUGCUUAACACCCCUGCACAGUCAGUUUCCGCCCUCUGCCCACCUCCUGAACAGCAGCGUUUAAUGCCAAGUCAGGGCAGAGUGAGGGCAGCAGCUUCAGCAGAUGCCACUGAGCAUGCGCCGUCGGUCGGUGCGCCCAUGCUCAGUCCCCGCCAAGCCGCUGACGCAAGGCACGGUGCAGGCUGAGUCAGCGAAGCUGAACCUGCCUACGGGUUCGGCAGCGAGGCGUUCCCGCGGCUGCGGCAUAGACACCGUCUCAGGCGGACCCAGGAUAUUAGGGUUGAGCUUCCUGAGUCAGAUGCUGCUGCCUCCAUUGUGAUCUGGGAGCCUAGGCUGAGCAGCUCCUGUUCCCUGGUGGUUGAGCUGAGCUGGGGAGUGACUAUGAGUAAAGCUUCUUCUGUGCCCAGCCAAGGUGAGAACUUUCUCCAGCUGCAGUUAGUCUCAUAGUUGCCCUGACAGGCUGCAGUGUAACGUUCCAUCCUUCUGGAGGACAGGGAAAGGAAAUGGCUGCCGUGGAGCCAGUGCAGGGGCCGGUGACCUUCGAGGAGGUGGCUGUGUAUUUCACCAA